rnacentral:rRNA from 1 species
UACGUAGGAUCCUAGCGUUGUCCGGAUUUACUGGGUGUAAAGGGUGCGCAGGCGGACUUAUAAGUCAGUGGUGAAAUCUCGGCGCUUAACGCCGAAACUGCCUUUGAUACUAUAAGUCUUGAGUUUGGUAGAGAUCCGUGGAAUUCCGAGUGUAGCGGUGAAAUGCGUAGAUAUCUGGAGGAAUACCGGUGGCGAAGGCGGCAUCCUGGACCGGCAUUGACGCUGAGGAGCGAAAGCCAGGGGAGCAAACGGG